UGCGCUUGCCACAAUCACAGUGACAGAACGAUUCUGACAGAAUUUUUUUGAUGUGCAAGCUACGCUAUCAAGGUCUUAUCUACCAGAAUGAAACUGACUUUGCAGACAUUCCAUUACUGCUCUAACGCAGAGAAGCUGAUUGACAUGUUUGAGUGCGGGGAGACCCCGCCCCUCCGGGUACGGCCGUACCACCGCCCAGGUGCACCGAGGGCUGGGAUCAUGACCUCGGCAUUGGUCGACGGAGACUGGAUGCAAGUGGGGUGGGUCCGGGAAACCGACCGGCUGGCAGUUGAAGAGUUGUGCUCUGGAGCCGCUAUUGAAGACCUGGUUGUGAAGCUGAGGGAAGCUUACGUGAAGAGGGGGUUCUGCGUCCUGAAGCUUGACGUUUCCCUUCAGUAAUACCUAGUAAUAUACAUUGCAUUUCGUUUGUAUAAAUAUGUUCCCAAUAAAAUGGUUCUGUCAGUCUAGUAGC